ACUCUAAGGAUCAGGAGUCAGCCAGCAUUGUAUGAAAAGCUUUCCCACAAAAACCCUUCACAAGACACACUCCUCGCCACGCUGUCACGGCAAUUAGCAGUACAUGAACAGGCUCGCUCGUGCUCUCGCUGCAGGACCUGCGACUGAGGGCUACAGGGCGGCCUUCUCAUUUCACGGAUGCGAGGGUGGCAGGAAUCCUACUUCAUUCUCUAGUUCACCUGUGUUAGUCAUACCUCCCCAGAGAGACCAGAAGUUCUCUGGACAAGGACUGUCUGUCUCUAUCCCUGGCACACCUGGUCCUGAGCCGGAGGCAUCCCAGGUACUAAGAAACGUCUGCCUCCCUAAUUCAAACUGGACGAGAAUACGCCAAGCGGUGGUGCAGGGUCCAGACGGCCGACCCUCCUGGCCCUGGCCCUGCUCCUGCAUGAUGUUGUUGCUAAUGCUUUGGGUUUCGGUUACCCUGCCCAGCACCUUCUCUGUCUGAAAGCCAAAUGGGUCUUGCCAUACCACGGAGUUUUCUAGUGAAUUCUAAAAGAAGUUGGCUUUUAUAAGGUGAACAAUCACACCUAAAUUUACUUGUUUUUAAAAGUCACUUUAUUUCAGGUUGUGUUCUUUGUGGAAUUGACCUCCAAUUUACAUUAUCAAGAAAUACUUCCCAUAUCUUGAAUAAACUCCUCAAAGGAAAAAAAAAAAUCCCAGGGAAUUACAGUGUGGAUGUGUUUGGACAUUACUGGCAAUGUGUUUCAUUGAGCUGUGCUUGAGUACUUUCAGUGUUAACACUGGUGAAUCUAUAAGGUCUUCAUAAAAUGGGAUUUGGUAAGGGAAGUUGUCUUUAAGGAACUGCCUAGAGCAAAAGGGCGUGGGUUGGAUAAAUGGAGAAAGAAAUACUGGAAACAAAGACAUCAC
rnacentral:lncRNA from 1 species